GGAAUGCCAGGGUUGUGUAAGUCAGUUAAGAAUGGGGGGCUUGGCUUUGACACAGACUCAACAUGGCUGUACCUGACAAGUGGAUCCAGAUACUGAAGGAGUUAAAGGAUGAGGAAUGGACAUGGGAACAUCGUCUACACGCUGACCAAUAGGAGGAAGGGUGAAGGAUGCAUCUGCUAUGCUGAGAAGCCACGACCAGGCUCUGGUAGGUGAUA